rnacentral:tRNA from 3 species
GCGUCCAUCGUCUAAUGGAUAGGACAGGGGUCUUCUAAACCUCCGGUAUGGGUUCAAAUCCUAUUGGACGUA